AAGUCGUAACAAGGUUUCCGUAGGUGAACCUGCGGAAGGAUCAUUAACGAGUUUUGAAGUGGGUUUGAUGCUGGCCUUCCCAGGCAUGUGCUCGCCCUGCUCUCAUCCACUCACACCUGUGCACCUAUAAAUGUCAGAAGAUUCAUCCCCUAGACUCUUAGGGGUGUAGUUCGAGCUAGCUUGGACUAUUGGGUUGAGUCUUUUGCGUUUACCUUUUUAUAAACUCUUGAAUGUAAUAGAAUGUCCAUGGCCUACGGGCUUUUAUAAAUGAAAUACAACUUUCAACAACGGAUCUCUUGGCUCUC
rnacentral:misc_RNA from 1 species